rnacentral:rRNA from 1 species
UAACCGGAUUAGAUACCCUGGUAGUCCACGCCCUAAACGAUGUCGACUAGUUGUCGGGGAUUAACUUCUUCGGUAACGCAGCUAACGCGUGAAGUCGACCGCCUGGGGAGUACGGUCGCAAGAUUAAAACUCAAAGGAAUUGACGGGGACCCGCACAAGCGGUGGAUGAUGUGGAUUAAUUCGAUGCAACGCGAAAAACCUUACCUACCCUUGACAUGCCCGGAAUCCUGCAGAGAUGCGGGAGUGCCCGAAAGGGAGCCGGGACACAGGUGCUGCAUGGCUGUCGUCAGCUCGUGUCGUGAGAUGUUGGGUUAAGUCCCGCAACGAGCGCAACCCUUGUCACUAGUUGCUACGAAAGGGCACUCUAGUGAGACUGCCGGUGACAAACCGGAGGAAGGUGGGGAUGACGUCAAGUCCUCAUGGCCCUUAUGGGUAGGGCUUCACACGUCAUACAAUGGCCGGUACAGAGGGUUGCCAACCCGCGAGGGGGAGCCAAUCCCAGAAAACCGGUCGUAGUCCGGAUUGCAGUCUGCAACUCGACUGCAUGAAGUCGGAAUCGCUAGUAAUCGCGGAUCAGCAUGUCGCGGUGAAUACGUUCCCGGGUCUUGUACACACCGCCCGUCACACCAUGGGAGUGGGGUUCACCAGAAGCCGUUUGCCUAACCGCAAGGAGGGCGGCGACCACGGUGAGCUUCAUGACUGGGGUGAAGUCGUAACAAGGUAACCGUA